rnacentral:misc_RNA from 1 species
GAGAAGAACGUAGCGAAAUGCGAUAAGUAAUGUGAAUUGCAGAAUUCAGUGAAUCAUCGAAUCUUUGAACGCACAUUGCGCCCGCCAGUAUUCUGGCGGGCAUGCCUGUUCGAGCGUCAUUUCAACCCUCAAGCCCCCGGGCUUGGUGUUGGGGAUCGGCGUGCCCUCGCGGCGCGCCGUCCCCUAAAUCUAGUGGCGGUCUCGCUGUAGCUUCCUCUGCGUAGUAGCAACACUCGCACUGGAUCGCAGCGCGGCCACGCCGUUAAACCCCCCACUUCUGAAAGUUUGACCUCGGUUCAGGUAGGAAUACCCGCUGAACUUAAGCAUAUCAAUAAGCGGAGGA